GAUUAGAGUUUGAUCAUGGCUCAGAACGUACGCUGGCGGCACGCUUAACACAUGCAAGUCGAACGAAGUAGCAAUACUUAGUGGCAGACGGGUGAGUAACAUGUGGGUAUCUGCCCUUUGGCCUGGAAUAACACGAGGAAACUUGUGCUAAUACUGGAUAAGUCUUUACGGAGAAAGCUUUAUGCACCAUUGGAUGAGCCCGCACUUGAUUAGUUUGUUGGUGGGGUAAUGGCCUACCAAGACUGUGAUCAAUAGCUGAUUUGAGAGGAUGAUCAGCCACAUUGGGACUGAGACACGGCCCAAACUCCUACGGGAGGCAGCAGUGGGGAAUCUUGCACAAUGGAGGAAACUCUGAUGCAGCGAUGCCGCGUGAGUGAAGAAGGCCCUUGGGUUGUAAAGCUCUUUCGUCGGGGAAGAAAAUGACUGUACCCGAAUAAGAAGGUCCGGCUAACUUCGUGCCAGCAGCCGCGGUAAUACGAAGGGACCUAGCGUAGUUCGGAAUUACUGGGCUUAAAGAGUUCGUAGGUGGUUGAAAAAGUUAGUGGUGAAAUCCCAGAGCUUAACUCUGGAACUGCCAUUAAAACUUUUCAGCUAGAGUAUGAUAGAGGGAAGCAGAAUUUCUAGUGUAGAGGUGAAAUUCGUAGAUAUUAGAAAGAAUACCAAUUGCGAAGGCAGCUUUCUGGAUCAUUACUGACACUGAGGAACGAAAGCAUGGGUAGCGAAGAGGAUUAGAUACCCUCGUAGUCCAUGCCGUAAACGAUGUGUGUUAGACGUUGGAAAUUUAUUUUCAGUGUCGCAGCGAAAGCGAUAAACACACCGCCUGGGGAGUACGACCGCAAGGUUAAAACUCAAAUGAAUUGACGGGGACCCGCACAAGUAGUGGAGCAUGUGGUUUAAUUCGAAGAUACGCGCAGAACCUUACCAACACUUGACAUGUUCGUCGCGACUCUAAGAGAUUAGAGUUUUCGGUUCGGCCGGACGAAACACAGGUGCUGCAUGGCUGUCGUCAGCUCGUGUCGUGAGAUGUUGGGUUAAGUCCCGCAACGAGCGCAACCCUCACUUUUAGUUGCCAUCAUUAAGUUGGGCACUCUGAAAGAACUGCCAGUGAUAAGCUGGAGGAAGGUGGGGAUGACGUCAAGUCCUCAUGGCCCUUACGUGUUGGGCUACACACGUGCUACAAUGGUAUCUACAACAGGAAGCAAGACUGCGAGGUCAAGCAAAUCCUUAAAAGAUACCUCAGUUCGGAUUGCACUCUGCAACUCGAGUGCAUGAAGCUGGAAUUACUAGUAAUCGUGGAUCAGCGUGCCACGGUGAAUGCGUUCCCGGGUCUUGUACACACCGCCCGUCACACCAUGGGAGUUGGUUCUACCUUAAGGCAAGGUUUUAAACCCUUGACCACGGUAUAGUCAGCGACUGGGGUG
rnacentral:rRNA from 1 species